rnacentral:rRNA from 1 species
CCUACGGGCGACAGCAGUGGGGGAUAUUGCACAAUGGGGGAAACCCUGAUGCAGCGACGCCGCGUGAGUGAAGAAGUAUUUCGGUAUGUAAAGCUCUAUUAGCAGGGAAGAAAAUGACAGUACCUGACCAAGAAGCCCCGGCUAACUACGUGCCAGCAGCCGCGGUAAUACGGAGGGGGCACGCGUUAUCCGGAUUUGCGUGGUGUAAAGGGAGCGUAGACGGUUGUGUAAGUCUGGAGGGAAAGCCCGGGGCCCAAGCCCGGGACGGCAUUGGAAACUGUGUAACUGGAGUACAGAAGGGGCAGGCGGAAUGUCUGGUGUAGCGGUGAAAUGCGUAGAUAUCAGGAGGAACACCGGCGGCGAAGGCGGCCUUCUGGACUGAAACUGACGUUGAGGCUCGAAAGCGUGGGGAGCAAACAGGAUUAGAUACCCGUGUAGUC